UUUUUUUUAAACAUUUCAUUUGUUUGUAUCAUCUUUUUUUUUUUUUGGAACUCUUAUUUUUUCUAUUUUGUAGGUGGAAGCUGAUGAAGCAUGUUUGAAUGAUCAAGGCACAUUGACUAAGAGGAACUCAUUUCUUGAAGAUGCAUUUAAUUCAUCUUGUGAAGGAAUCAUGGGUUGUGCUUGCUAGGAUAUUGUAUUAUACUAGGCUAGAACGAACUUCGUCGACAUUUACUUAUGUCAUGUCCAACUUAUUUCCAUCAGUGACCAUCUUGUUGGCUAUCAUCUUUAGGUCUUUGUGGCCUUAUCAAUAGGUUGGAUGGCAAAUAAACAUUCUGGUCGCGCUCAACAAGUUUUUAUUGACAGGUAUUCAAUCACAAUUUCAUGUGGCGUGGUCCACUUUAGAUAUGAAGAUACUUCAUUUUUUCGAUCAUGCCCUAAAAUGAGCUGUCAAAACAGAUGGACUGGAGAUGUAGGGAAAAUAUAUCACUGUUGGCCCCACAGUUAGGGAUCCACUGAAGCUGCACCCAAUUAGCUGGUACCACACACUCUCCUUUGCUCUUGUAUUUAGUUGCUCUAUAUGAUAGGUGUGGCAUCGUCCUUUUA